rnacentral:lncRNA from 1 species
AUAAAAUUUUAUGAAAAAAAUAAAUAUGAUGUGAAAAGACACGUUGAGAUUUUUUAUGUCGAAAAAUAAGAGCUUUUGGUUGAAGUUUCUACCUACUAGCUAGCUAGAUGUAGUAACAAGUAACUGGUCGAUAAACCUUUAAGACUACGUUUAGUUGGAGGAAUAUCUCAGAACAAGACAGAAUAUCCCUCUUUAUUCCCUCAAAUACAAUGCAAAAUGGAACAAGGCCCUUGUUCCGGGCUUAACGGGUUGUUCUGGGAACAACACGUUAAGCUUGUUUUCCCCGGAUGUAAGAAUUGGGGGGAACAACAUGGGGAGAUAUGUUUCUUUACCAUUUUGCCCUUUAACCCUUCAUCAGGGUUUGUUUAGAAAUUUUUUUGGAUUUUUUUUUUAUUUAUAAGAGCCACACUAUUUUGACUUAUUAAUAUUUAAUUUAGUAAAUUAAAAAAAUUCGAUUGAAUAAUUAAUUUAAUUUAAUAAGUACUAUUCCAUUUUAAAUGUUUAUAUUUUAAAUUAGUUUCAAAAAAAAUAAAUAAAUACUUAAAUUGAAUACUACAAAAUUAAUAUUUUCAAAAUAAUAUACAAAUAUACUUAAUUUGUAAAUUAAUUUAUUUUAAUACUUAAUUUAUUAAAUUAUAUUUGAUUAUUACAUCCAAGGGCAAAUUUGUCAUUUUAUUUAAUUUUUAUCUUUUCAACAUUUUAUUCCAAUAUAAACAUCCAAACACUAUCAAAAAUAUUCUCUAGGAACAAGCAAAUAAUAUCCAAACGUAAUUUACAACUUGUUCUAGCUUAUACCAGAAUAUUUUAUGUUCUCGGGAACAACAAAAAUUGUUCUCCAAAAUUUAGUUCUCUAGCCAAACGCAGCAUUACAGUGAAGUAUGUCAGAUAAUAAUGUGCUUCUUUCUAUAAUUCUU